UCCUGAUGGCUCAGACGGUAAAGUGUCUGCCUGCAAUGCAGGAGAUCUGGGUUUGAUCCCUGGGUCAGGAA
rnacentral:tRNA from 1 species